rnacentral:misc_RNA from 1 species
GUGAAUCAUCGAAUCUUUGAACGCAAAUUGCACCCUUUGGUUUUCCGGGAGAGUAGCCCGGUUUGGGGGUAUGACUAAAUAAAAUCGACAUUGUUGCUGUUUUAUGGUGACUUGCGUCGGAGAUGGGUCAUCUUAACUCUCGGUUUAAGCGACUUAAUAAUUUAUCUUACGAUUCUAAGAAUGUUUCUAAUAUUUUUCCUGUACGCGCAAGUUAUCGGAU